UACAGAGGUCUCAAGCGUUGUUCGGAUUCAUUGGGCGUAAAGGGUGCGUAGGUGGCAUGGUAAGUCGGAUGUGAAAUCCCGGGGCUCAACCCCGGAACUGCAUUCGAUACUGCUGCGCUAGAGUACUGGAGAGGAGAUUGGAAUUCACGGUGUAGCAGUGAAAUGCGUAGAUAUCGUAAGGAAGACCAGUGGCGAAGGCGGAUCUCUGGACAGUUACUGACACUGAGGCACGAAGGCCAGGGGAGCAAACGGG
rnacentral:rRNA from 1 species